GUGCCAGCAGCCGCGGUAAUACGAACUGUGCGAACGUUAUUCGGAAUCACUGGGCUUACAGGGUGCGUAGGCGGCUUGUUAAGUAGGGUGUGAAAGCCCCCGGCUCAACCGGGGAAUUGCGCCCUAAACUGGCGAGCUGGAGUGAGAUAGGGGUGUGUGGAACUUCCGGUGGAGCGGUGAAAUGUGUUGAUAUCGGAAGGAACGCCGGUGGCGAAAGCGACACACUGGAUCUUGUCUGACGCUGAGGCACGAAAGCCAGGGGAGCGAACGGGAUUAGAUACCCCGGUAGUCC
rnacentral:rRNA from 1 species